rnacentral:rRNA from 1 species
AUUGAACGCUGGCGGCAGGCUUAACACAUGCAAGUCGAACGGUAACGGGUUGAAAGCUUGCUUUCAAUGCUGACGAGUGGCGGACGGGUGAGUAAGGCUUGGGGAUCUGGCUUUUGGAGGGGGAUAACCAUUGGAAACGAUGGCUAAUACCGCAUAGUAUCGAGAGAUGAAAGGGGUGGGAAACCACUUGCCAAGGGAUGAACCCAAGUGAGAUUAGGUAGUUGGUGGGGUAAAGGCCUACCAAGCCGACGAUCUCUAGCUGGUCUGAGAGGAUGGCCAGCCACACUGGGACUGAGACACGGCCCAGACUCCUACGGGAGGCAGCAGUGGGGAAUAUUGCGCAAUGGGGGGAACCCUGACGCAGCCAUGCCGCGUGAAUGAAGAAGGCCUUCGGGUUGUAAAGUUCUUUCGGUGGUGAGGAAGGUGGUAGUGUUAAUAGCGCUAUUGUUUGACGUUAGCCACAGAAGAAGCACCGGCUAACUCCGUGCCAGCAGCCGCGGUAAUACGGAGGGUGCGAGCGUUAAUCGGAAUAACUGGGCGUAAAGGGCACGCAGGCGGGACGUUAAGUGAGAUGUGAAAGCCCCGGGCUUAACCUGGGAACAGCAUUUCAUACUGGCGUACUAGAGUACUUUAGGGAGGGGUAGAAUUCCACGUGUAGCGGUGAAAUGCGUAGAGAUGUGGAGGAAUACCGAAGGCGAAGGCAGCCCCUUGNGAAGAUACUGACGCUCAUGUGCGAAAGCGUGGGGAGCAAACAGG